UCAAAUAUUUCCUCUCACCGUUAUUAAUUGUACAGUGUAUUUUGUUUUCCAUGCUACAUUUUUUCUGCAUAUUUCUCUCUCUUUCUUCUAAUCAACUUCUUCACACAGAACUGCAAUUGAAUUCGGUGAAGGCCCCCAAAAAAGAAAGGGGUUUAACAGUUACGUAUCAAAAAACCAUCUUGAACAUGCCGUCUUUUGGCGUUGUUGAAUGCGAGGGCUGAUAAGAAGACUUCAUAUGACUCUGCAGCACUUGCCAUGCUUAAUGAGCUUCAAAAACGGGGGCAGGUCAUCAUUGGUGAAUCAAUAUAAGACUUGCUGUGAGCAACCAGGAAAGUAGUGAGUGACGCCUUGCCCUAGGUGCUGUUGUAAGCUUAGAUUAGAGUAACUUGUGAACUAUCCCCCAUUUCCUGGAUAAUGUUUCCGCCAAUCAACCUUGUAACCAGAAGGGUUUAUGUAUAUGAUUUGACUAUUAAAACAGGAAACAAAAAAAGGUAGCAUUAUGUCAUGGCUUGCA